UACGUAGGAUCCAAGCGUUAUCCGGAAUUACUGGGCGUAAAGCGUACGUAGGUGGAGAUUUAAGUGAGAUGCGAAAUCUUGCGGCUCAACCGUCUAGACUGUGUCUCAUACUGGGUUUCUCGAGGUUGGCAGAGGCAAGUGGAAUUUCCGGUGUAGCAGUGAAAUGCGUAGAGAUCGGAAGGAACACCAAUGGCGAAGGCAGCUUGCUGGGCCACACCUGACACUGAGGUACGAAAGCGUGGGGAGCGAACAGG
rnacentral:rRNA from 1 species